CCCCUCUCAUGGUCGCACCUGGAGAGUUUCCAGGACUCUACCAGUCUCGACUAAGGGAGGGAGAGCCAAACAGAGGCCUGUCCCUUCCAUUCCUACCUUGGGCAGUGGCUAGAGAAUGGAAGGCAAUCUGCUACAAGU
rfam:Ornithorhynchus anatinus chromosome 3, whole genome shotgun sequence.